CCUACGGGUGGCAGCAGUGGGGAAUAUUGGGCAAUGGGCGCAAGCCUGACCCAGCAACGCCGCGUGAAGGAAGAAGGCUUUCGGGUUGGAAACUUCUUUUCUCAGGGACGAAGCAAGUGACGGUACCUGAGGAAUGAGCCACGGCUAACUACGUGCCAGCAGCCGCGGUGAUACGUAGGUGGCAAGCGUUAUGCGGAUUUACUGGGUGUAAAGGGCGUGUAGGCGGGGAGGCAAGUCAGAUGUGAAAACCACGGGCUCAACCUGUGGCCUGCAUUGUAAACUGUGGUGCGUGAGUACUGGGGAGGCAGGCGGAAUUCCUAGUGUAGCGGUGAAAUGCGUAGAUAUGAGGAGGAACACCAGUGGCGAAGGCGGUCUGCUGGACAGCAACUGACGCUGAGGCUCGAAAGCGUGGGGAGCAAACAGGAUUAGAUACCCGUGUAGUC
rnacentral:rRNA from 1 species